rnacentral:tRNA from 1 species
GGGGAUAUAGCUCAUUGGUACAGUGCUUGCCUUGCGUGCACAAGGCCCUGGGUUCAAAUCCCAUUACCACCA